rnacentral:rRNA from 1 species
GUCGAGAAUCUUUCACAAUGGGGGCAACCCUGAUGGAGCGACGCCGCGUGGAGGAUAAGGUCUUCGGAUUGUAAACUCCUGUCAUGCGUGAACAAGGUUGCUUGGUUAAUACCUGGGCAAAUUGAUGGUAACGCAAGAGGAAGAGACGGCUAACUCUGUGCCAGCAGCCGCGGUAAUACAGAGGUCUCAAGCGUUGUUCGGAAUCACUGGGCGUAAAGGGUGCGUAGGUGGCGUGGUAAGUCAGAUGUGAAAGCCCGGGGCUCAACCUCGGAACUGCAGCCGAUACUGCCAUGCUAGAGUACUGGAGAGGUGACUAGAAUUCUCGGGGUAGCAGUGAAAUGCGUAGAUAUCGAGAGGAAUACCAAAGGCGUAGGCAGGUCACUGGACAGUUACUGACACUGAGGCACGAAGGCCAGGGGAGCGAACGGGAUUAGAUACCCGAGUAGUCC